GUCUGUGGCUAUCCCACCCUGAACACGCCCAAUCUUGUCUGAUCUCAGAAGCUAAGCAGGGUCAGGCCUGGUUAGUACUUGGAUGGGAGGCAUUUGAGCUGUUUCUACUGUUU
rnacentral:rRNA from 1 species